GCGCAUAGUUCAUUUCAUUAAUUUUCUACCACUAAAAACAAGACCCCGGUUUAUUAUGAAAUAAUUGUUAAUUCGUGUAUCAACGUUGUGAAAUCAUUUUCAGCAAUAUUUAAUUCAACAUAUGUAUUGUAGUAUCAGUAGUUAGAAGUAGAGCGGUCAAUACGAUGUUUGUUUUGACGAAGAGAAUUUACAUAGAUUCAUUUUAAAAAAAUACCCGGAAACAGACAGAAAAAAAUAGUUAAUAUCUUGUUUCGAACAGCGAUAUGAAACCUAAUUGUGAGUGUGGAUCAAACGAGCACUGUAUAAAAUUUAUAAAUCACGUCGAAAUCGAAUUGGACAUGUUCAACAGGUUGUUAAGUUCCAAUACAAAUGUAUACGAACCGGUGCAUGGAGGUGACACUGCCCUUCAUCUUGCCAUACGAAAGGGAGACCAGGCGCAAGUCAACGUACUAUUAGCAGCAUAUCAAAAAGAUUUCGAAAUGUUCAGUACCUAUUUGAAAACUAACUAUCAAUGGAACCCAGAGAACAUGAUAUGGCACAAUAAAACUAUCCUAGUGGCAACCAACGCAGAUCAAUGUCGAGCAGUUAAAGAGAUGGCGAGUUGUCCAUUAACAGUCGAAGAGCUACCCCGAGCUGUAUUUAUCCUACUUCAAACUCCAAUAGAGGGGGAAAAUGUUGCAAUGAUUCUUCCCAGCAACAAUGAUCGACUGGCACUUUAUCAACUAUUCACCUCGCUAUUGCCAAAUGGAUUUCUGACGUGGAACAACGUUGGACAAGGAUACAGGCAAACAUACGUUGAGGAAGCCGCCUCGUGUGGCAGCAUCGAAGUUAUCCAACGACUUGUUACCUUGGGAGCUAAGCUUGCCAUUCCAAAUCACAGCGCUCUGUUGGCAGCUUGUCGAAAUCUUCAGAAAGAGACCAUUCGGUGGCUGUUGGAUGCGCAUUUGGAUUGUGUAUUGCAAAACACCGAUCAAAAGCAAGCACUUGUCAUACUUUUAAAGAAACGAAACGUCGAGAUGUUUGAGUUUGUUCUGGAUAAAAUGAUUGCGUAUCGGCGAAAGCGAUACAGCGAACCCGAUUCAGAAGCGUUGGCAAAAAUUAUUCACUAUGAGUUUAUUCCCAUCGUUUUCAAACAUCUUAGAAUGGGUGCAAUACGAGAUAAAAUUGAAGAGUUUAUUGUUAAAUAUAAGCUGGAUCUAUCCUAUCAGUGGAAUGGUGGUUCCAUGUUGGUAUGUGUAAUGUGUCGACGACUAGCACUGAACUACUGUUUUGAUGUCAUUCGUCAAAACCACGAAUUGCUUGGAAUCAGCAAUAAAAAUGUUACUGUGCUACACACUUUGAUCGCCUUGGGUCAUAUCGAAUUUUUGAAAGAGAUAUAUGAAAAACAUCCGAUGGUUAAAUUAUAUUUUCAAACCGAUCAAGCAUUCGUUGAGCUUCAGAAUGCGAUUUUGGAUGCAGAUCGAGUUACGAUCCAAUUUAUUCUGGCACACCACUCUGAUUACCUAAAGAGCAAUUUAGAUAAGUUCAAAAGAGAGAUAUUGUGCCAUAAAUAUCAAACUGAAGCAUUCCUUGAACAACCUGGGUUACUCGUUGAUUUUUUCCCAGAAUUUGAAAUAGCAAUUGACCAGCAGGUGCCGAAGCAAAUAUCUAAGACAGAAUCAAACUGUACAACAAUAAGAAGUGUUGAUCAACUGCAUUCGGCUGUCGAUAAGAGUGAUAAACAUCUCCUCGUUCAAUGUCUAGAAGCUGGUUGGGAUAUCGAUAUGCUGGACAACGAAGGAAACCAUUUAAUUCAUUAUGUUCGAACCGUAGCUAUGCUUAAAUUGCUACUCGAGCGCCAUCCUGAGGGUACUAAACUAGUGAAACGUUUAAACUAUGCCGGAUAUUCGAUUCUUCAUCGUGUUUGUUCUGCCGAUAUUGACCUUGAGAAGCAAUAUGAGUUAGUGGAAACAAUACUGGAUUACGGGGCUGACGUGAAUCAACUCACAAAAAGUGGGGACUCCGCAGCAUUUAUGACCAAACAUUGCAGAAUUUUAGAUAUCCUAAUAAAACACAACAUCAAAUUAGAUGUUGUUAAUGAUAAAGGUGAGACAGCUCUACUGCGACACCUGUUGAACCGUAACGCUGCAAUGGCCAGUACCAUACUACCUGUAGUAUACAAAUUGCCCUCUUUCGGAAAGUACGCCCACCAGUAUCUAGCUCCUAUGAUGAACAACGAUCGAAUUUCAUUUAGUCUCGACUAUCAGCCGAUACUGGUUAAGCACCCUGAAAUAACCGAGUUUCUACUGGGCGCAGUUUAUCGCCAUUCCCGAGACGAAGCAUCGCGCCUUUUUGCCAAGGCUUGUUAUGGAUCACUUAGUUUCAUCGUUGAAAAAAUUCUCGAUUUUGGCUUUGAUCUGGACUACAACUACAAAGCUGAUUAUGGAUGCACACCAUUAAUAGGCCUGGUGGGCUAUGCGCAAGAACGCAACGAUCAUCUCCUGAAAAGGUUGCUCGAGAAAGUUGUCGAUGUGAAUCUACGAGAUAGCUCAGGAAGAACUGCGCUUUUGUCGUUAGCGUUAUUUUUUUGUUCCGUGAAGCGAUACGGACAUGGAACGCACACGGUUCAGAUGUUGCUGGAUCGAGGGGAAUUGGUCAACGCGAAAGAUGCGGAUGGAAAUACGGCGCUGCAUUUUGCUUUCGAUAGGAAUGAGUGGGAAUUAGUGGAAGUACUGGUGCGGAAUGGGGGCGAUUUGAAGAUUCAAAACAGCGCCGGCAAAUUACCGUAUCAGACAGGGUCCAGCAUAAACCAAGAGCUGUUCAGUUUUAUGAGUUGAUUGGUUCUGUGAUUGUUUGGUUUUAUCCAGAGGUGUUGUUUAUUACAAAAGGCCCACUGAAACCGAAGACAAAUCUGUAUAUCGAACGUGUUAAUGGCUACAAAUCAAGAAUACAACGAAACCUACGAUAAUCUUCUCGCCGACUUCUCGACUACCCUGGAGACACUCCAAAAAGUCGGAAAAACUCUUAACAGUUUCAGCGGAGGAUGUUUCCUGAACCAAGCGA